rnacentral:lncRNA from 1 species
AAAUAAGGCUGAAUAAAAUUAUGUGUGUUUCCUAUCACAUCUAGAUCUAGGUUAGGGAACUUUUUUUAACAUUAAGUCAAUGGGAGAGAAUUCUGACUUUAAGAGUACUUAUUGAAAAAUGACCCAAAAAUUAACGGUAAGCUAUUUCUAAGCUUAAAACAUAGGCUAGGUAGCUAAAUAGAAAACACAUAAUUUUUUAUUUGCCCUAAAUGUCAAUACACAUAUAAAAAUAAGAUAAGUACAUGGUUUUAACAAGAAACAGAUGUCUUAACAAAAUGUUUUAAACCCUCUCAGUGGACAAUGGAAAGGUUCUAGAAGGACAAUAAAAAUGUGUUCAGUCAAAGCACCUAUAAGUACAUACGGAUAAGAACAAACGAAGAAAUAUACAUUAUGUACACAAAAAACAUGAACAAGACAACAGUAUAACGACAACAAAAACAGUAAAUAAACAAAAAAAUAAUAUACAAAAUAAUAUAAAAAAUAAUAUACAAAAUAAGAUCAAAUAAAAUAAUAUGUGUGUUUCCUAUGAUAUCUUUGAAAAUAAUAUUGUAGGUAGGUAGGGAAUUUUUUUAAUUUUACAAUUUUGUUCUACAUUGAGUCUACGGAAGAGAAAUUCUGACUUUAACAGUGCUUAUUGAAAAAUGACCAAACAAACUUUAAGGUAACAUUAGGCUAUUUCUAAGCUUAAAAAAUAGGGUAGGUAGGGGAAUAGAAAACACACAUAAUUUUUAUUUAGCCUUAAUAUCAAUGACAGCAACUUGAAGACACAUAUAAAAAUGAGAUACAUAAAAUACAUGGUUUAAACAAGCAACAGAUGUCUUAACAAAAUGUUUUAAACCCUCUCAGUGGACAAUGGAAAGGUUCUAGGAAGACAAUACAAAUCUGUUCAGUCAAAGUACCUAAGUACAUAAUGAGAAGAAAAAACAAAAUAAUAUACAUUAUUUACACAAAAGAAUAUAACGAAAUAGGAAACACACCUAUUUUUUAUACGACCGCAAAAAUUUUAAUUUUUCGUCGUAUAUUGCUAUCACGUUGGCGUUGUCGUCUGCGUCGUCGUCGUCCGAAUACUUUUAGUUUUCGCACUCUAACUUUAGUAAAAGUGAAUAGAAAUCGAUGAAAUUUUGACACAAGGUUUAUGACCACAAAAAGAAGGUUGGGAUUGAUUUUGGGAGUUUUGGUCCCAACAUUUUAGGAAUUAGGGGCCAAAAAGGGCCCAAAUAAGCAUUUUCUUGGUUUUCGCACUAAAACUUUAGUUUAAGUGAAUAGAAAUCUAUGAAAUUUUGACACAAGGUUUAUGACCACAAAAGGAAGGUUGGGAUUGAUUUUGGGAGUUUUGGUUCCAACAGUUUAGGAAUUAGGGGCCAAAAAAGGGCCCAAAUAAGCAUUAUUCUUUGUUUUCCCACAAUAACUUUAGUAUAAGUAAAUAGAAAUCAGUGAAAUUUAAACACAAGUUUUAUGACCACAAAAGAAAGGUUGAGGUUGAUUUUGGGAGUUGAGGUCCCAACAGUUUAGGAAUUAUGCCAAAAAGGGGCCCAAAUAAGCAUUAUUCUUGGUUUUUUCGCACCAUAACUUAAGUAUAAGUAAAUAGAAAUCUAUGAAAUUUAAACACAAGGUUUAUGACCAUAAAAGGAAGGUUGGGUUUGAUUUUGGGAGUUUUGGUCACAACAGUUUAGGAAUAAGGGACCCAAAGAAUCCAAUAUUGAACUUUGUUUGAUUUCAUCAAAAAUUGAAUAAUUGGGGUUCUUUGAUAUGCUAAAUCUAACUGUGUAUGUGGAUUCUUAAUUUUUGGUCCCAUUUUCAAAUUGAUCUACAUUAAGGUCCAAAGGGUCCAAAAUUAAACUAAAUUUGAUUUUAACAAAAAUUGAAUUCUAGGGCUUUUUUGAUAUGCUGAAUCUAAACAUGUACUUAGAUUUUUGUUUAUGGGCCCAGUUUUCAAGUUGGUUCAAAUCAGGAUCCAAAAUUAUUAUAUUAAGUAUUGUGCAAUAGCAAGAAAUUUUCAAUUGCACAGUAUUCAGCAAUAGCAAGAAAUCUUCAAUUGCACAGUAUUGUGCAAUAGCAAAUAUUUUCAAUUGCACAGUAUUGCGCAAUAGCCAGAAAUAUCUAAUUGCACAAUAUUGUGCAAUAGCAAGAAAUUUUCAAUUGAUUGGAGUUAUCUUUCUUUGUCCAGAAUAGUAUUUGAGUCAACUUAAAUCAUUGUUUUAUACAAUAUACAAUGUAUAUUCACUUUUACUACCAACUGAUAAAUUAAAACAAUCUUUACCAUUCAAACAGUGAUAACAAGCACCUUUUGUUACAUUUUAAUAUUUUAUGAUGUAUUUAAAUGAGUAGUUAUUUUUGCAAACUCCAUUAGAAAUUUGAAUUGAGAUCAGUUUUGGAAAAAGGGAAAGGGGGAUGUGAAAAAAAAGGGGGGGGGUUAAAUUUUUUCUCAUUUCAGAUUUCAUAAAUAAAAAGAAAAUUUCUUCAAACAUUUUUUUGAGAGGAUUAAUAUUCAACAGCAUAGUGAAUUGCUCAAAGGCAAAAAAAAAAAAAUUUAAGUUCAUUAGACCACAUUCAUUCUGUGUCAGAAACCUAUGCUGUGUCAACUAUUUAAUCACAAUCCAAAUUUAGAGCUGUAUCCAGCUUGAAUGUUGUGUCCAUACUUGCCCCAACCGUUCAGGGUUCAACCUCUGCGGUCGUAUAAAACUGCGCCCUGCGGAGUAUCUCUCUGGUUUUAUUUUGCCUAAUUAAAAUGUUGAAAAAUGAUAAAACAGUGCAAACAAAACCAUACUGUAAAAAAGGAUGAAAGUAGAAUGGGUUGACUUUUUCUUGAAUAGAAUAAAUCAGAUUGUGAAAUUAAAUGAUGUUAGUAAUCAUCUGAUUUAGAUAAUUUUAUAUAUGAAUAAUUGUGAGUCCACAACUGACAAAGUCAAAGGGGACUUAAAGUUUGUUUCACUUAAAAUUUUACCCUGGAAUUAACAUGACACAUUUUUUGUAUAGUUUGUGACUUAAAGUUGUAAAUUAGAGACCUAGGUGAUUGAUUUUGGGAGUUUUGGUCCCGACAUUUUAGGAAUUAGGGGCCAAAAAGGGCCCAAAUAAGCAUUUUCUUGGUUUUCGCACUAUAACUUUAGUUUAAGUAAAUAGAAAUCUAUGAAAUUUUGACACAAGGUUUAUGACCACAAAAGGAAGGUUGGGAUUGAUUUUGGGAGUUUUGGUUCCAACAGUUUAGGAAUUAGGGGCCACAAAAGGGCCCAAAUAAGCAUUAUUCUUGGUUUUCGUACACUAACUUUAGUAUAAGUAAAUAGAAAUCAAUGAAAUUUAAACACAAGGUUUAUGACCACAAAAGGAAGGUUGGGAUUGAUUUUGGGAGUUGAGGUCCCAACAUUUUAGGUAUUAUGGGCCAAAAAGGGGCCCAAAUAAGCAUUAUUCUUGGUUUUCGCACCAUAACUUUAGUAUAAGUAAAUAGAAAUCUAUGAAAUUUAAACACAAGGUUUAUGACCAUAAAAGGAAGGUUGGGUUUGCCUAUUUUGUUUUGAAAAUUUCCAUACUUGUGCAAUAAUUUUUCUUACAAUUUCACUGGUAAUGAAACUGUAAUUUAGCAAUUAGCUAAAUAACCCCAAAAACUGUUAGAUAAAAGUUUCAAUGUAGUAUAUAUUGAAUUGUUUUAUAAUAGUGGCUAAUUAAGCUAUACAGUUUAUACACUUUAAAAAUAUUAUGCUUCCUGUUUAAAAAAAACAAUUAGUGUACAAGAUUAUAAGAAACUUGUAUUUCAUUGAACUGUUGAAUUUCAAUGUGGUUCAUUUAAAUUCUAGAAUCUUUGCAAAAUAAUAUCCCAAGAAUAAUAUUAAGUGCCAAGAAUGAUUAAUUACCAUAAAAAAUUACAAGAAGUUGAUAGAAAAUGUUGAUUAAAUGUCCUGUUUGAUAAGGCCAAAUAAAAUAACAUAUGUGUUUCCUAUUACAUCUUUGAAAAUAAUAAGUAGGGAUUUUUUUUUAAUUUUACAAUUUUUUUCUAUAUUGAGUCUAUGAAGGCAAAAUUCUGACUUUAAAGUGCUUAUUGAAAUGGAAAAAUUAGGGUGAGUAGGGAAAAAAAACACACAUAUUUUUUAAUUGACUUUAAUUUCAAUGACAGCAACUUGUAGACACAUAUAAAAAUGAGAUAAAUACAUGGUUUAAACAAGAAACAGAUGUUUUUUUUACAAACCCUAUCAGUGGACAAUGGAAAGGUUCUAGAAAGACAAUAAAAAUGUGUUCAGUCAAAGCACCUAAGUACAUAAUGAUAAGAAAAAACAAAAUAAUAUACAUUAUGUACACAAAAGAAAGAAAUAUGAUUUCAAUAUAAAUGAUAACAAAAACAGUAAAAUAGAUAACAAAUUUUUUUAACAAAAUAAGGCUGAAUAAAAUUAUGUGUGUUUCCUAUCACAUCUAGAUCUAGGUUAGGGAACUUUUUUUAACAUUAAGUCAAUGGGAGAGAAUUCUGACUUUAAGAGUACUUAUUGAAAAAUGACCCAAAAAUUAAUGGUAGGCUAUUUCUAAGCUUAAAACAUAGGGUAGGUAGCUAAAUAGAAAACACAUAAUUUUUUAUUUGCCCUAAAUGUCAAUGACAGCAACUUGAAGACACAUAUACAAAUAAGAUAAGUACAUGGUUUUAACAAGAAACAGAUGUCUUAACAAAAUGUUUUAAACCCUCUCAGUGGACAAUGAAAAGGUUCUAGAAGGACAAUAAAAAUGUGUUCAGUCAAAGCACCUAUAAGUACAUACGGAUAAGAACAAACGAAGAAAUAUACAUUAUUUACACAAAAAACAUGAACAAGACAACAGUAUAACAACA